rnacentral:lncRNA from 1 species
AUUUCUCUGUGCCGGGUUGGGUGGGAUAUGGCUCUUCAGCUGGGCUUCAGGGACUUCAGUGCAGUGCAGCCUCAGGCUUACGGAGUUGGGUAUCUUUCCCUUAUGUAAGUCACUGGGAGUUCCAGGGCCCCAGCAGAUAGGUUUAUCUCUACUGUGCAGGAUCCCAUGGGCCAGUGCAGGAGAUAGGAAGUAACACUCAGUGUAGGGGGUGGGAGGAGGGAAGGAUGAAUGCAGGGCUGGGAGGAGGGGGUGCGGGGAGAGCACUGUCAUGCCGGCCUUGCUCCCUGCAUCUAUAGCCCUCUCCCGUUCUUAUCCAGCAUAUUAUGAAUUUGGGUCUCAGCACCCAUGUGAAAAGCCUGCACAACCAUGUGCGCUUACAGUCCCAGGGCUGGAAGCAGCUGAGACAGGUGGCUCGUUGGGCCUCAAUGGCCUGCUACUCCAGCUAAAUCAGUGAGCUCCAGGUUCCUGAGAGAGCCUGUCUCAGAAAACGAGUGGAGGAUGACACCUGAGAGGGAGACAGCUCCUAUCGACCUCUCAUUCAACACACAGACCUGCACAUACAGAGCAGUACACACAUGUAUCAUAAAUACACCUGAAAACGGUGGGGCUGUUGGCAUGGCUCAGAGGGUACAGGCACUUGCUGCCAAGCCUGAUGACUGAGAUUCAACCCUCAAGAGCCACGUGGUAAGAAGAAAGAAUUACUAUGAGUUGAGCUCUGAUGUCCACACACACAGUAAAUCAUUGUUAGGGAAAAGUACCAUUGGGAUGGAGACUUCAUUAGCUAUGUGCGCUUGCUGCUCUUGCAGAGAUCUGAGUCCAGCUCCCACACCUACACUGUGUGACUCCAGGACACUUCCUGCUCUCUGAGGGCACUCCACACACUCAUCCGGACACAUACACACAUAAAAAUCAAUAUAUUUUUUUACAGGUGCCAUCAUGGCAGGAGUGGUGGUGCACACCUUCCAUCUCAGCAUCUGAAAGGCAGAGACGGGUGAAUCUCUCUGAGUUCUGAGCCAGCCAGCGCUAUAUAGAGACUGUCUCAGAAAAACAAAACAAACUGUUAAUCAUGGUAUUGGCCUGUUUCCCAGCAUUUGAGAGACUAAGGAAUUCAAGACCAGCCUGUGCUACAAAGUAAAACUUUUUGUUUGGUUUUGGUUUUGGUUUGAGAUAGGAUUUCUCUGUGUAGUCCUAGCUGUCCUGGAACUCAGAGAUCCGCCUACCUCUGCCUCCCAACUAGUGGGAUUAAAGACAUGUGCCACCAUGCAUAGCCAGAGUGAGACUCUUUAUAGACUCCUCCCUCUCCUAAAUUAAAUUUACAAAGAGCCGUUUUCUUCUAACCUGUGUGGUAUAAGCACCUGCACUUAUUUAGAGGGCCAAAAUUACUUGUAUAACUGGCAAGAGCCUAAUCCAGGCUCAGUUGAGCAAGACUGAAGCUGUGACAACUUUAUUGAAAGUAAUCACACUUUUUAUACCCUUAUAAGAAACCAAAUAUAGUGGCAUUUGCCAGGAUCUAUAUAUGUGCAGUUGCCAGGAUACAAUGGUGUUUGCAAGCUAUACAGAGUAUAUGAGAUUAGCGUCUGAGACCAGUUGUCGUGGAUUCCAUGCUUCCUUGCCUUCUAAGGCAACAUACAGAGAAGCACAAAGUGGCCUGCGUGCUUUACUGCCUGAGGGAGAGCAUUGAUCCCUCAGGAACUGGAAAGCACCUUGUGCCCUAGGAGCCAUGGAUUCUUAAAGACAUGAGUAUGAAAACCAUGUCGUAUGUCUCUCAAGGUAGCAAGACCAGGCCAACUCCAUGGUUUCCUGCAGUGUAGCACACCUGUUCUUCUGCUGCCAUGAACUUAAUGCUGUUUUGUGUUUUCCAAUGGUUGAAAAUUUUUUAAGGGCUGGAGAGAGAUGGCCUGGCGGUUAAGAGCACUGGCUGCUCUUCAUGAGGACCUGGGUUCAGUUCCCAGCGUCCACAUGGUAGCUUACAACUGUUGGUAAAUCCAAGAUCUCUCAUACAGACACACUUGCAGGCAAAACACCAGUGCUCAUAAAAUAAAGAUAAAUUAUUUUAAGACAGACAGACAGACAGACAGACAGACAGAAAGAAAGAAAGAAAGAAAGGAAG